rnacentral:misc_RNA from 1 species
GAAUUUACCGCGCACAGUGGUCCGACGGUUACCCUCCUCUUUAGUAGACUCGCCGUGCAUUUGUGCGGAGUGAUGCUCUGGAUGGCUUGGCCGUUGUGCACCAGCUCGCGCAUGAGAUGUGUUGGACCUGUGACUGCCGGGAGGCCCCCCGCCGUUGUGCGGCCGACUCUCGGCGCCUUUGCCCAUUCAGUCCCGUGGGAACAAUGCCCGUUCAAUAACGAGUGCUUGCGUGCUGCUACCCGUGUCUCGGGAAGUUGCAGUCGCUACAAGUUGCCUUUGUCGCGUCCACCCUUUGGGUUCGAUGCGAUGACUUUAUAGCCUAGCGGCGUUGCCUCGUGGUAGUGCCUUCAUUCCGCCUCUUCCACCAAGGCUACCUCGCUUACGCWAUAGGUCCUGGAUGAUGCCAACGARAGKKGACGAKGCWSCCUMGRAGRAKCMKUCCUWNCMUANUANGANCAUUURGG